GAGGAUGUGGCUCAGUUGGUAGAGUGUUUGCCUAGUAUGCAGGAAACCCUGGGUUCAACCCCCAGCUCCCCA
rnacentral:tRNA from 1 species